rnacentral:lncRNA from 1 species
CAGCCUCGCAAGGUGACCUGACAGGCUCCAGAAGAAAAGUUUCACUAGAAUUCAAUAAGGAAACCAAAGAAUUGCUCAGAUAGAAGAACAUUUCAGUCCUGAUAUUUGCUGUAACUAAUAACUACUGGAUAAACAAAGAAGGCACAUGGAGGAUCUUUUACCUGGGUCCAACAAAACAACAGCAGCAAGUUGAAAAAAGCAAAAAAAAAAAAAAAAAAAAAAAAAAAAAAAAAAAAGAGAGACCAAGGUGCAAUUACAAUCCUAUCCCACAAAGAGGUCAAAGGCUACCCAAAAGACCAGUCGGCCGCAGGAUCCUCAAAUCAUCUAAGCCAUUCGUAUACUCUCAGGUAUGUUACAGAUGGUCUCCAAUUUUAUUUGUAUCUGAAUUUGUGGAGAGGAUGCAGGGAAAAUCAUGUUUGUUGGCUUACCUAUCCUGACACAGACAUCAGGUUACUACUAAAACACACGAUUCUACAGUUGUACUACCAGUAACAGUUCAAAAAGUACUUUCCUCAUAUGUUAUCUACAUUUGAUGCUAAAUGUACUUGUGAGUUAUGUAAUAAUGUCCUCUUGCAUAUAUAAUGUUUAUCAAUAAACCAACAUCAUGAAUCUGCCCAAUAAAAUCAGGUUUAAACAUGGGUUUCCAGUUCCAGAUUUUUCCUCCAGGCCUUGCUUCUUCCAAAUCUUUCCUUUUGUAGUAGAUUUACACGUUUCAUCAAAAUAAGUCUAGUUGACAUGUUUAAGGUAAUUCUUUAACUUUCCAACCAUAUUCUUCUUUAUUGCUUAUCAUUUUACCUGCUGGUUGUCAUUUGAAAUUCUGUCCUUUCCCUGGAAUCUGAAGUAAGUUGGUAAAGACUCAGAAUUCCUAAUGUUGCAAUGCAUUAUUUACUUUUGUAGUACAUUUACACAUUCCAUCAAGAUGAGUCUAUUUGACAUAUUUAAGGUAAUUUGUUAACUUUCCAACCAUGUUCUUCUUCAUUGCUUAUCAUUUUACCUGCUGGUUGUCAUUUGCAAUCCUCUCGUUGCCCUGGAAUCUGAAGUAAGUUCGUAAAGAUGUAGAACUCCUAAUGUUGCAAUGCAUCAUUUCUAGGAUUUAACUGACUUCCCUGACAUCAAAUUGUG